CUCUUCCCCAGUCCUCCUUGUGUGCCCUCGUGAGUGGCGGUGACAAUGCUCCCGGAUGUGGGCCCCAAGGCCAGCGGCCCCGGAGCUGCCCGCCCACCCGUCCGCCUGCUAUUGUCUGCUCUGGCCUGGCGGUGUGGCGCUGGGCUUGUGGGGCCCCGGCGGGCAGGGGACUGUGGGAACGGAUUAGAGGUCCUGGGCUUGCUUUCCUCGUCUUGCAUAAACUCUUGAUCAAAGACAUUCCUGGGAUGACAGAGCCCUGUGAGCUGCGAGGCUGGCCCAGCGUGCGGGACGCACACCCCACGCUGCAGUCCCUGCACAGGCCUGCCCUUGCUGGCCCUCGCUGGCCCUGGCUGCAGCGCUGACUUUGGGGACUAGCCUUAUGGUGGGACUGGUGAUGGAGCGGGUGCCAGGAGGCAACACAGCCUUCCCCACCAGAUUCAGAGGCCAGGCCCCCAAUGCCUGGCAGAGCGAGGCUGUGACUCUGCUUCCUGGGGUGCUUCAAGGAGGGUCACGCUGCAUGCGGGGUAGCCGGAGGGAUUGCCAGAUGCAUAUGCCACUGCCGCUGGGCCUGGCUUCUCUGGACUCCCACGGGCACUGCCCCACCCUUUGCACAGCCCUACCCACUGUUAUCCCACAAGUGUGGUCUGAAGUCCAGGUGCCCGCUCUGCCCAGCCUCCUUCCUCUGUCCCCUCAGGGCCUUUCACUCCUCGUGACAACUCUAGGUGCUGUCUGGGCUCCUGGGGAACCCCCGACCCUUCCAGCCUUGGAGUCAGCUCCCGGCAUGCGGGUCAGGCUGGACCCAUGGCUCUGCAACUCAGCCCAGCAGCUUGGGGCUGCCCUGUAGGAGCCGACGCAACCUCCUUUCCAUUCGGCCCCCUUCCUGGGACCCACUGUGUGCCAGGGUGGGGAGAUGGAGGCAGAGAGGAAUCUGGGAGAUUUCCGUCCUGGAGGGGCUCAGCCAGAGCAGGAAGGUGCCCAGGCAUGACAAUCCUGGACUCCCAGAACCACCUGCCUGGUGUGGGGUGGGGAAGCCUUCAGAGAGCCCGUCCUUACAGCGAGAGCAGAGAUGAAGGUUCCUGUGGACCGAGGCGGUGGGCCAAGCACAGAACAGGAAGCUUGAUGCGGUCUGAUGUGUCAGGAGCUCCUGGGCAAAGACAUCGAGCUUAUUGGGGUCAAGGCUGGGGAGAGAUGGGGCUGAGUCCCAGGGACCUUGGACGGAGCUGAAGGGAGAUAGGAAGGCUGGGGGUUGGGGGCAGAGGAUGAAGAAUGGAUGAGGACUGUCUGGCUGCAGGGAGAUGGGCCAGGAGGCAGGGCAGGGCCCCUCAUGAGCGGGUAGGGGUGGCGGGCACGUGAGAACAGGCUUCUGAGAAGGGGCUGCAGGGAGAGCUGACGGCGGAAGGCUUUGUCUCUGAAGUUCCUCAAAGGUCAGUUUUUACCAUCACCCUCUGGGCAGUGCAGGUACUCCAACAAGGGACGAGGUCUUCACUGAAUCCCAGGAGGGGUUGCAGGCACAGAGGUGAUGUCAGUGGAGUUUGAGAGUUGGGAACAAGGGCCUAGAGUGGUCAGACGAUGCCUUUGAUGUGGUUUGACUGUGUCCCCACCCAAAUCUCAUCUUGAAUUGUAGCUCCCAUAAUUCCCGUGUGUUGUGGGAGGUAAUGGAAUCAUGGGGCGAUUUCCCCCAUACUGUCCCCAUGGUAGUGAGCAAGUCUCAGCAGUUCUGAGGGUUUUAUAGGGCUUUCCCCUUUCCCCUGGCUGUCAUUCCCUCUUGCCUGCCUCCAUGGAAGACGGGCCUGUCGCCUUCUGCCGCGAUUGUGAGGCUUCUCCAGCUGCGUAGAACUCGCCGCGGUGCAACCAGAAACGCGCAGACCCAGCCGCCCGCCGCCCAGACCCUCAGACUUGCGCGUCACAGGACAGACUCUGCUGUGCCCCGUGCACUUGCCACCAGCCUUUGGCCUCUCGAUACACACAACAUCCAGGACUUGUGCCCUUGCCCCGUCACAACAGACAAAGCGUCCCUCAAGGCCCCCGCGUGGUUCAGACAGACGCCGCAGCCAGGAUGGUUGAGCAAACAAUGUGAAAGAGAUACACAGAAGCGAUGUGAAUAUUUCCAAACCGUGCCUGGAAGUCAACGGUAGCAGCGCAAUAAGAAAAUGGAGCUGCGGCCUGUCCCCAGUGUGGGCACCGCCCCGUCCCCUCGGGAGCCUCUUCCUCACACCUCCUCCCGCCUGUCCUCCCUCACACAUCAGCCUCCACACUCUUGCCACCUCCCUUCAACACUUCCUAAAUAAAAAUUACAAGAAUUACAU
rnacentral:sRNA from 1 species